CCUACGGGAGGCAGCAGUGGGGAAUUUUGGACAAUGGGCGCAAGCCUGAUCCAGCCAUGCCGCGUGCAGGAUGAAGGCCUUCGGGUUGUAAACUGCUUUUGUACGGAACGAAAAGACUCUGGUUAAUACCUGGGGUCCAUGACGGUACCAUAAGAAUAAGCAUCGGCUAACUACGUGCCAGCAGCCGCGGUAAUACGUAGGGUGCGAGCGUUAAUCGGAAUUACUGGGCGUAAAGCGUGCGCAGGCGGUUAUGUAAGACAGAUGUGAAAUCCCCGGGCUCAACCUGGGAACUGCAUUUGUGACUGCAUAGCUAGAGUACGGCAGAGGGGGAUGGAAUUCCGCGUGUAGCAGUGAAAUGCGUAGAUAUGCGGAGGAACACCGAUGGCGAAGGCAAUCCCCUGGGCCUGUACUGACGCUCAUGCACGAAAGCGUGGGGAGCAAACAGGAUUAGAUACCCUGGUAGUCCACGCCCUAAACGAUGUCAACUGGUUGUUGGGUCUUCACUGACUCAGUAACGAAGCUAACGCGUGAAGUUGACCGCCUGGGGAGUACGGCCGCAAGGUUGAAACUCAAAUGAAUUGACGGCGNGAGAGNGCGAGGACGACGACGAGGGGAGGAGG
rnacentral:rRNA from 1 species